GCUGUGCAAUUAUGGAUAUUGCUUGAACAAAUUGAUGUAUAUGAGAAGUGAAGAUAGUAGCUUAGUGUGAGUAUUGGAAUCAAAUUUUUGUGAAGGGCUUGGUGAGUUAAAGUAAAGGUAAAAAAGUUAAAUCAAUAUAUUAUCUCUAGUCUCAAUUAGAGUUUUAAAUUAUUCUUACUGAGUAUGUGUGGCUCACUACUUUCUAUUAGUUCCAUAAUAGAG
rnacentral:lncRNA from 1 species